CUCGGUCCCGUGGGCCUCGGCAGCGCCUGCGGGAGCGCGCCGGGGGGGCUCGGGUGCUGUGGUGGCGGGGAGGCACGGGAAGGAAAGAUGGCGACACGUGUGUUGAAAGCUGCCUCUAACCGACCUGGCGCUUUUUGUGCUGCGAUUGCAUACCUCGCUCCCGGUUCUAAAUGCCCCCUCGCCGCGCUGCCUGCCCGGGCGGUGUCCCAGGAGGCCUGCCUUGGGCCCUGCCUUUCCUCCGUGAGCCUGAACGAGUAGCCCAGGCCUUCCCAGCUGCGACGUACCCUGGGGGCUGUCGGGGUGCAGUCGAGAGCGGGCGGUGGGUCUGUCUCACAUUUAGCGUGAGCAAUUUCGGUUCCGUGAACCUCAGCGAAGCAGGUAGGCCGGUGUUUGCCUAGGCACAGGACUGCCGCGGGCCAAGCACCUUCCACCGGUCUGCCUUUGCCUUGGGAGCCUGCCUUUCCAUCCAUUGCCUUCGGGGUGGAGGGAGUGAAGGAGUAGCAAAGCAAAAUACAUGGUUACUCCAAUACACCCUGUAUUUAUGAAGGAUUUUGUCAGGUCUUACCUACUUCUUUAUGUCAAGAGAAAGUCAGAAAUGUCUUUCAGCCCAGCUGUUCUCGGUAGCUCCAGAGAGCGCUGCGUUGCUGCAAGUUUCUGAGAGGGAAGGGUUUGUGACCCAGCUGGCACUUGUCCACCCCAUUCUUAGGUUACUUGACAUCCAGCUCAGUUUAAAAUAUGCUGAGGAAUAACAUAAUUGCCCACCCGGAAGCAAGGAUUACAUUUUAAGGGCUGCUGUUACGUAUCUGUCAGACAUUAAUAUUCAUUACUGCUAGAUGUUUUUUAGUCCCAAGGCAGUCCUUGAGCUGCGGAACCCCAGAGUGAUUUACAUAGGCAUCAGUUAUGCAAUCUUUUUCUGAGGGCGCUGAAGUACAAUGAAAAAAAGUAUUUGGUUGGAGUUCUGUGCUGGUUUAAAAUGCACUACUGAAAUGGCUAACAGAACAAACUCCUCUGAGUAUUUUUGGUCGUAUGAAUAUUAUUGGGAUUAUAUAGAUCCAAUUCCAGUAGAUGGAAGCAAGUUGAAGGUUAAUAAAUAUUCUAUUGUCAUAGCCUUUUGGGUUGGGCUUGCUGCGUUUGUGACGUUUCUUUUCCUUAUUUUACUGUAUAUGUCCCGCUCUGGAUCAACUCCAGUAAAAUCACUGAUGAAAAUGCUGAACAGGAUUGGGUGCUUAUGGAGCCCUGCUGGAAACAGACACAGUCAGAGAUCUUUCUCCAGUUACUUUUUCAGAAGCCUAACUCACAUAACACCUGUUUAAUGGGACUUGUGUAUAGUUCUUUUUAAAGAAGGCAGUAUGGAAUACUAAGUCAAAUGCCUUACUGCAGUUUAAAUAGCUACAUAUAUGCAGCUACCUUUAUCCUCAAAUGGUGUUCCCCUCAAAAAAUAACAUCAGACACUUUUCACCAUACCUGUCUUUCUAUAAAGCCAUACUGUCUGGAAUUAGUUUCUCUGUCCUUUGAAAUACUUUUUCACUUGUAUCUUAUCUUAGCUUUAAUUCCAUGAUUUUGCCUGGGGCUGAGGUCAGUUGCACUGCCUUAUAGUGUCCUGGCUUGACCAGUUCGCUCUCUUUGAGUACUGGGACACUAGGGCUCUUCCAGCUGCCUCAAACUUCCCUGCUGUUACAGGGAUGGUUAACGAUUAACAAGAGCCAGCCAGAGUUCUCCUCAGAGAGUCUGCAGGUCUAUGGGAUGCAAGUUCUCCAGCUGAUUUUAAAAUAUGGAUAGCUAGCUGAUGGUAUUUAGCUACUUAAUGGACUGGAAAGGAAACAUCCUGUUUUGACAAGUGAUUGUAGGGAACCAGAUAGAAGAAAGCAGUUCCAACGGUAAACAGCCUCACUGUGAUGAUCUCAGUAGUCCAUACUCAGAUGUGGUUGCUUCUCAAACACCUACCUCCCUUUCAUAUGAAACUGGCAUUCAUGAAAGGAUCUGAGCCUGGGUUAAAACUGGAACAGGUUAAACAAAACCAGCAGUACAGUUCUCCUGACUGCAGAGAAAAGCUCAGUGCUGUGACUGCCUAUUAAACACUGAUACCAAAACCCUUCAGGAGAAGAAGAAAAAGAAAAAUGUCUUUCAACAAAGGACAAACCUGAAAAAUCCUGGAUGCAUAAGAGGAAGUCUUAAUGGCCAUAUUUGAGCAACGGUGCUGGAGUUGCCUGAUCAGCAUUUUAGAUCAACAUUUUGGAUCCUGAUGAUGAUGACUGUAAAAUUUCUCUCUCUUCUUUAAGUAAGGAUUCAGAUUCGAACUCCUCUCCCAGUUACGUGGUGCAAAGGGUGUGCUGCUGGUUGAGUGGUUCUCAUUAAGACCCAUUUGGUGGAGAGCAGAUUUACUCCUCUAGCAGAAAGUCUAUACCAGUUACACCCAGAGUCCUGUAAAGAGUUCUGCCUUGGUCACCUAAAUGCCCACUGAGUCCUGUUAUCCUUGGGGUUGUCUCUGCAGCAUCAGUUUUCACUGGGUUGUCUUGCUGUGAAAGAAAGCAGAAUCCCGUUGAUCUUACUGAACAGGCAGCAUAACCAAUAUUGUUUAUAUAUCAUGAGAGCCAUAAGUCAUCUGCUUCUGUCUCUGUCCUCAGGUCACACGCAUCAGCUGCAUCUUAGUAACACCUCCAUUUGGACAUCCUCUGAAAAGUGAGCAACAAUGUCAAGUGCAACAUCAACAAUAAAACUUUGAUUUUAGAAGGGUUAUAACUUGCUUCACUAACUUAAAGCUCAGCAGUUCCCUCGAGGAUAGAAUAUGCUUUUUAUUUACUUUUCUAUUGCAAACAAUAUUUGGGUUACUUAAAAUUUACUAAAACACUGUUUACCUAGAACAGCCUUUAAAAAGGUUAUGGCAGCACUAAUUAUCUCAAGUGAGUGUCUUACUGAAUAAAGUAAUUAGCUUUA